rnacentral:tRNA from 1 species
GGAGGAUUGACCGAGUGGCCGAUGGUGCUUCCUUGGAAAGGGAGUGUACGAGUAAUCGUACCGUGGGUUCGAAUCCCAUGUCCUCCG